GAUGAACGCUGGCGGCGUGCCUAAUACAUGCAAGUCGAGCGAACAGACGAGGAGCUUGCUCCUUUGACGUUAGCGGCGGACGGGUGAGUAAAACGUGGGUAACCUACCUAUAAGACUGGGAUAACUUCGGGAAACCGGAGCUAAUACCGGAUAAUAUUUCGAACCGCAUGGUUCGAUAGUGAAAGAUGGCUUUGCUAUCACUUAUAGAUGGACCUGCGCCGUAUUAGCUAGUUGGUAAGGUAACGGCUUACCAAGGCAACGAUACGUAGCCGACCUGAGAGGGUGAUCGGCCACACUGGAACUUAGACACGGUCCAGACUCCUACGGGAGGCAGCAGUAGGGAAUCUUCCGCAAUGGGCGAAAGCCUGACGGAGCAACGCCGCGUAAGUGAUGAAGGUCUUCGGAUCGUAAAACUCUGUUAUUAGGGAAGAACAAAAGUGUAAGUAACUGUGCACGUCUUGACGGUACCUAAUCAGAAAGCCACGGCUAACUACGUG
rnacentral:rRNA from 1 species